rnacentral:lncRNA from 1 species
GGCAUUCUGCUUACUGCAACCUCUGCCUCCUAGGUUCAAGCGAUUCUCCUGCCUCAGCCUCCUGAGUAGCUGGGAUUAAAGGGGCCAACCACCACGCCCAGCUAAUUUUUGUAUUUUUUUAGUAGAGACGGGGUUUCACCAUGUUGGCCAGGCUGGUCUCGAACUCCUGACCUCAGGUGAUUCGCCAGCCUCUGCCUCCCAAAGUGCUGAGAUUACAGGUGUGAGCCACCGCACCCAGCCAGUUUUGAACUUUUAUGAAGAGGGCAUCAUAUGAUUUGUUGUCCUUUGUUACUUGCUUUUUUCACUCAACCUGUUACUAUGAUUCAUGUUUCACAGUUAAUUCACUUUUUCACUGCUGUAUACUAUUUUGUUGUGUAAAUAUACCACAGUUUGUUUAUUCAUCCUGAAGAUAGGCAUUUUUAUUUUUAUUUUUUUGAGAUGGAGUUCCUCUCUUGUGGCCCAGGCUGGAGUGCAAUAGCACCAUCUCGGCUCACUGCAACCUCUGCCUCCCAGGUUCAAGUGAUUCUCCUGCCUUAGCCUCCUGAGUAGCUAGGAUUACAGAUUUAUAGGAGCAUUGUGACUGGACCAAGGACAAAGAAGUUCCCAACCUCCUCAGACCCUCGCUGCUGCCCAGAUGUCUGCCAUGGGGUGGCCAUCAUCGAAUCCACUGAGGGCGCAAAUAGAACAAAAAGGUGAAGAAAAGGUGAAUUCUCUCCUUUCUUGAGCUGGGACAUCCAACUUCUCAGACAUCAGAGCUCCUGGAGGCCUUCAGACUCCGAGACAUUACACCAUUGGCUCACCUGGUCCUCAGGUCUUUGGACUUGGAAUGAAUUACACCAUUGGCUUUCCAGGUCUUCCAGCUUGCAGAUGGCAGAUUGUGGGACUUUUCAGCCUCCAUAACUUUGUCAUCCAAUUCCCAUAAUAAAUCGCC